rnacentral:rRNA from 1 species
UACGUAGGGUGCAAGCGUUGUCCGGAAUUAUUGGGCGUAAAGAGCUCGUAGGCGGUUUGUCGCGUCUGCUGUGAAAACUCGGGGCUUAACCCCGGGCCUGCAGUGGGUACGGGCAGACUAGAGUGCGGUAGGGGAGACUGGAAUUCCUGGUGUAGCGGUGAAAUGCGCAGAUAUCGGAAGGAACAUCAGUGGCGAAGGCGACUACCUGGCCUGUUCUUGACGCUGAGGCGCGAAAGCUAGGGGAGCAAACGGGG